UACGUAGGUGGCAAGCGUUAUCCGGAAUUAUUGGGCGUAAAGCGCGCGCAGGCGGUUUCUUAAGUCUGAUGUGAAAGCCCGCGGCUCAACUGUGGAGGGUCAUUGGAAACUGGGGAACUUGAGUGCAGAAGAGAAAAGCGGAAUUCCACGUGUAGCGGUGAAAUGCGUAGAGAUGUGGAGGAACACCAGUGGCGAAGGCGGCUUUUUGGUCUGUAACUGACGCUGAGGCGCGAAAGCGUGGGGAGCAAACAGG
rnacentral:rRNA from 1 species